UCAUAUGGAUUUGUGAUAGUGGAAU
rnacentral:piRNA from 2 species